UGGGUGUGAGCAUUAGCUGCUCUAACCCCACACAUCCUGUCUUCUCAGUCUGAGAGGCAUCAGCAGAGGAACCUUCAUGCAGAGUCUCCCUGAGCACAGGACUGACUGUCUCUCUCCUUCACAGGAAGUGUCCUCUCUGAGGAGCUGCCCUCUGGGUAUGAAGAUGUGGAGGACAGUGAGGGAGACCCUCUCUCAGGUUCAGGGUUGAUGGUGACAGGAGACACAGCAGAGGACUAUGAUGAUGUAGAUGGUAUAGAGCAGAGCCCACAUGUUAUACAGGGUGAGAGAGCUUUGACCACACUGCCCCCUGGGGAGGGCCCCCCUGAACCUGACCAGACUGACUAUGAUGAUGUGGGGGAGGAGGGACUGACAGUCCUGCCUGAGGAAGCUCCUGUCCGAAGGUUCAUGAAGAUGUUCUUCAAAUGAGCUUCAUGACAGCAGCAUCUACCACAUUAACAUUGCGAUAUUUAUUUAAG